rnacentral:rRNA from 1 species
UACGUAGGGGGCAAGCGUUGUCCGGAUUUAUUGGGCGUAAAGAGCGUGUAGGCGGCCAGAUAGGUCUGUUGUGAAAACUCGAGGCUCAACCUCGAGACGCCGAUGGAAACCAUCUGGCUAGAGUCCGGAAGAGGAGAGUGGAAUUCCUGGUGUAGCGGUGAAAUGCGCAGAUAUCAGGAAGAACACCCGUGGCUAAGGCGGCUCUCUAGUACGGUACUGACGCUGAGACGCGAAAGCGUGGGGAGCAAACAGG